CGGAGGGUGCAAGCGUUAUCCGGAUUCACUGGGUUUAAAGGGUGCGUAGGUGGGUAAGUAAGUCAGUGGUGAAAUCUCCGGGCUUAACCCGGAAACUGCCAUUGAUACUAUUUGUCUUGAAUACUGUGGAGGUCAGCGGAAUAUGUCAUGUAGCGGUGAAAUGCUUAGAUAUGACAUAGAACACCAAUUGCGAAGGCAGCUGGCUACACAAAUAUUGACACUGAGGCACGAAAGCGUGGGGAUCAAACAGGAUUAGAUACCCUGGUAGUCCACGCCCUAAACUAUGGAUACUCGACAUUUGCGAUAAACUGCAAGUGUCUGAGCGAAAGCAUUAAGUAUCCCACUGGGAAGUACGAUCGCAAGAUUG
rnacentral:rRNA from 1 species